CGCGCAGGCGGGCUAAUAAGUUGGAUGUGAAAGCCUACGGCUCAACCGUAGAACUGCAUCCAAAACUGUUAGUCUAGAGUGUGGGAGAGGAAGAUGGAAUUAGUUGUGUAGGGGUAAAAUCCGUAGAGAUAACUAGGAAUACCAAAAGCGAAGGCAAUCUUCUAGAACAUUACUGACGCUGAGGCGCGAAAGCGUGGGGAGCAAACA
rnacentral:rRNA from 1 species